CUACGGGGCGCUGCAGUGAGGAAUUUUGCGCAAUGGGGGAAACCCUGACGCAGCAACGCCGCGUGAGUGAUGAAGGCCUUCGGGUCGUAAAACUCUGUCAAGUGGGAAGAACCUAUGUAAGGUUAAUACCCUUAUGUACUGACGGUACCACUGAAGGAAGCACCGGGUAACUCCGUGCCAGCAGCCGCGGUAAUAGCGGAGGGUGCAAGCGUUAUUCGGAAUUAUUGGGCGUAAAGGGCGCGCAGGCGGUUUUGUAGGUCAGAUGUGAAAGCCCGGGGCUUAACCUCGGAAGUGCAUUUGAGACUGCAAGACUUGAGUAUGGGAGGGGGAAGUGGAAUUCCUGGUGUAGAGGUGAAAUUCGUAGAUAUCAGGAGGAACACCAGUGGCGAAGGCGACUUCCUGGACCAAUACUGACGCUGAGGCGCGAAGGCGUGGGGAGCAAACAGGAUUAGAUACCCGAGUAGUC
rnacentral:rRNA from 1 species